rnacentral:lncRNA from 1 species
GGUAGCACUCUUAACCUGCGGUUCAAAUUCCUUUGUGAUGUUUGAGGCUGGUCCAGACCCACCAAUGGGACGGGGAGAAGAGCAAGCGGUGGGCGGGGGCGCUGGCAGGGGAGGAGAGGGAGCCUUGGGGAGAAACCUGGGGGAGGCAGGGCUGAGGGCAUAGGGCGUUGAGUGAUUUUUGAGGAAAGGCUCUAGAGAAGCGCCGCGUUAAAGUAGGGAGGAGGGCCCCCCGAAACUGGCUGCCCCGGGGCAGGGCCGGUUGACCCGCGCCUGGGAGGAGCCCCGCGUCCCGUCGCGCCGACCCUGGGCUGGCUGCGUGUGCGUCGGGAGUCGAGCCGCCGUACGCACCAGGAAGUGACUCCCAGCGGCAGAGAUCCACGCUGUCCGCUGGCUUUUUCGUUUGCCGCCUCAGACUAUCAGGUGGUUCAAGCCAUUCAAAACUGCAGGGCUAUCCGCACGCAGAUUUUUAUUUCCUGCAAGCCCCAUGGUGAAACCACAAGGAACAUCAUUGACACCCAGUCCAGUGUCUGGAAUGUGCAGGUGCUCAGAGAGGCAAUAUAGCCUACUGGCCAAGAGGACUGGCUUUGAAAUCUGUCUGACCUGGCCUUGAAUCCUGGUUCCAUCACUUACAUGCUGUGUGACCUUGGGUGAGUUACUUAACCUCUCCAGCCCUCUGUUCCCUGCCCCACUCCCUGGAAAAGAAGGGUAAUAGUAGUACUUAGAUGAUGGG